rnacentral:rRNA from 1 species
UCUUUAAACGGCCGCGGUAUCCUAACCGUGCAAAGGUAGCAUAAUCACUUGUCCCCUAAAUCGGGACUAGAAUGAAUGGCUAAAUGAGGAUUAAACUGUCUCUUACGGGUAAGCCAAUGAAAUUGAUAUCUCAGUACAAAAGCUGAGAUAAAAACAUAAGACGAGAAGACCCUGUGGAGCUUAAAAACCAAACCACCAAAUAUGGUCCUUGGAUUUUUAGUUGGGGCGACUUUGGAGCAAAACAAAACCUCCAAAUAUGAAUACCUACCUUAUUAAGAUAAACAUACCAAAACAAUAACAUAGACCCAGCAAUUAAACCCACCAAUUGCCUGAUAAAUGAACCAAGUUACCCCAGGGAUAACAGCGCCAUCCCCUUAUAGAGUCCCUAUCGACAAGGGGGUUUACGACCUCGAUGUUGGAUCAGGACACCCCAAUGGUGCAGCCGCCAUUAAAGGUUCGUUUGUUCAACGAUUAAUAGUCCUACGUGAUCUGAGUUC